rnacentral:rRNA from 1 species
AUUGAACGCCGGCGGCAUGCCUUACACAUGCAAGUCGAACGGCAGCACGGGAGCAAUCCUGGUGGCGAGUGGCGAACGGGUGAGUAAAGCAUCGGAACGUGCCCAGUCGUGGGGGAUAACGUAGCGAAAGCUACGCUAAUACCGCAUACGAUCUGUGGAUGAAAGCGGGGGACCGGAAGGCCUCGCGCGAUUGGAGCGGCCGAUGUCAGAUUAGGUAGUUGGUGAGGUAAGGGCUCACCAAGCCGACGAUCUGUAGCUGGUCUGAGAGGACGACCAGCCACACUGGGACUGAGACAUGGCCCAGACUCCUACGGGAGGCAGCAGUGGGGAAUUUUGGACAAUGGGCGCAAGCCUGAUCCAGCAAUGCCGCGUGCAGGAUGAAGGCCUUCGGGUUGUAAACUGCUUUAGUACGGAGCGAAACGGCUUCCACUAAUACUGGGGGCUAAUGACGGUACCGUAAGAAUAAGCACCGGCUAACUACGUGCCAGCAGCCGCCGUAAAAC